GGUCUAAUAGUGUAGAGGUUAUCACACGGGAUUCUGAUGUUUACUGAGGUGUUUCCCGUGACCCAGGUUCGAGUCCUGGUUAGACCU